AAAAGAGAGAGAAGAAAAAGAAAGGGAUGAGAGGAGAGGGGAGCUGCGUAGAAGGGGGAAAAGAAGGAGACGGUGCCGGUGGGCACCACUGCCACCAUCGACACUGCUGCGCCGCCAAGAGGGAGAUCUGAGAGAGAGAGCGCAAAUUUGAGGAAGCAGAGAAGCCGCACCGCCACUGCACCACGCCUCGUCACCACCACCGCGUCGUUGCCGUGUUUUCCGCCGUCACCGCCACUGUUCCAUCACGAGAGAAGGACACGCGAAGGAGAGAGAGAAGGAUCUGAGGCUAAGCUGAGGUCCAACCACCGCGCCCAGUCGCUGUUCACGUCGCCAGCGUCGCCUUCGUCAGAACCGCCGCCGUCGCGGCCAGCUUCUGUCUCCGUCGAGGAUGGUUGUGGAUGAGAGGGGACAAAGCUGUCUCUGCCGCCAGAGAACGCACUGCCGGUCACCGCUACUGCUUGAGGUGGCUGCCGUGGCUGUCGCCGAACUGGUUCGGAGACUGCCACUGUUUCAAUUCAGCCAUUCUUCCUCUGUCUUGAUAAGCAUUUUUUGUUCAAGAAGCCUUUGUCGCUGUUUUGAUAAUUUAUGCUGAGGUGUUGCGACGUUGUCUGUCGUAGGGUUGUGUAUCGAUCCCUGCAUUAUUCACGAUGUUAAUGGUUUUAGGAGUUAGAAACCGAGUUUGCAUGUGGCGUUUGAGGCUAUUUCUGCUUCUAAGAAAGCAAGCGGAGCUGAGGUUUGUGGUUGCCGUUAGUUUCAGGUCGAGAGAAAAGAGUUCUGUUGAUGCGUUUAGGUUUAGGUUUUGGUUUCGACGAGUCGAGGUAGGGGCGAUUUUCUAAACUUAAUUUACUAUCGAGAAUUGUUUUAAGUUAAUAUUAAUAUGAAAAAUAUAUUUUUAUGAUUUUGUAAGUCUUAUGAAUUGAACUGAGUUGCCUUGAAUGAAUGCAAACACGAGUUUGAAUGGUUUAUUGAUUAA